rnacentral:siRNA from 1 species
CGGGUUUAGCAAGACGUUACUUAA